CAUUGGAUCCAGACUUUGAUUAUGGCUCAGGAUGAACGCUAGCUACAGGCUUAACACAUGCAAGUCGAGGGGCAUCAGUUUGGUUUGCUUGCAAACCAAAGCUGGCGACCGGCGCACGGGUGAGUAACACGUAUCCAACCUGCCUCAUACUCGGGGAUAGCCUUUCGAAAGAAAGAUUAAUAUCCGAUAGCAUAUAUUUCCCGCAUGGGUUUUAUAUUAAAGAAAUUCGGUAUGAGAUGGGGAUGCGUUCCAUUAGUUUGUUGGCGGGGUAACGGCCCACCAAGACUACGAUGGAUAGGGGUUCUGAGAGGAAGGUCCCCCACAUUGGAACUGAGACACGGUCCAAACUCCUACGGGAGGCAGCAGUGAGGAAUAUUGGUCAAUGGACGCGAGUCUGAACCAGCCAAGUAGCGUGAAGGAUGACUGCCCUAUGGGUUGUAAACUUCUUUUAUAUGGGAAUAAAGUGGUCCACGUGUGGAUUUUUGUAUGUACCAUAUGAAUAAGGAUCGGCUAACUCCGUGCCAGCAGCCGCGGUAAUACGGAGGAUCCGAGCGUUAUCCGGAUUUAUUGGGUUUAAAGGGAGCGUAGGCGGAUUGUUAAGUCAGUUGUGAAAGUUUGCGGCUCAACCGUAAAAUCGCAGUUGAUACUGGCAGUCUUGUGUGCAGUAGAGGUGGGCGGAAUUCGUGGUGUAGCGGUGAAAUGCUUAGAUAUCACGAAGAACUCCGAUUGCGAAGGCAGCUCACUGGAGUGUAACUGACGCUGAUGCUCGAAAGUGUGGGUAUCAAACAGGAUUAGAUACCCUGGUAGUCCACACAGUAAACGAUGAAUACUCGCUGUUUGCGAUAUACAGUAAGCGGCCAAGCGAAAGCAUUAAGUAUUCCACCUGGGGAGUACGCCGGCAACGGUGCAACUCAAAUGAAUUGACGGA
rnacentral:rRNA from 2 species